AUGUGUCCCCCAUCCAGGCCAUAUUCCCACCAAUUUCAAGGAGAAACUUCUCUACGUGAGGGUUUCUCAGACAGCAGCUCACCCGGUCAGGUCCGGAGGAGAAAGAGAGCAGGUGAGACCUGGGGCAGGAAGGGUGCAAGCGGGUUUGGACCCAGACUUCGCAGGGAAGUGAGUCUGGGGGCACCUGUCCUCAGGGUGGCAGCGGAGCCAGCCUCCUGCUUCUCUAAUGGCUCAUCAUCCACUUGGGAAAUGCGGGAAUUUGAACCAGAUGAGGAGUCAGUGAGCUCUGUGAGCUACAGCACCCAAACCCCAGGAGCGUCAGGAACCAGCAACAAGAAGAAGAUCCGUGGAGCAUCUUCUGAGAAGCAGGCUGAGCGGACCAGGGGCAGGACAAAAAUCCCAGGUCAAAUCAUACAUCCUGAUUUGGAGUUCAGAGAACGUGGCUGCCAGAACCCCCAAAUUUUAAAAGAGGUAUAAUUAGAGGAAUUUGUUAUUGCAAUCUGUUGUAAGAGAAUGGUCUGGCCUGUUGCAGAAUCUCCUACGCUCGUGAUGAAAUCUGGGCAUUUAUAAUUACUGACACCUAAUAUUUUCUUACGAAGACCAUUACUGAUAAUGACCACAUUCUUCCCCAGACAGAGAAUUUCCAAGGAAGUCUGGGAUCCUAUAUAAGACAUGACAUUUUAUGAUAAUAAUCAUCUCUGAGCCAUCCAUUCAUAAUUAGUCCAUUCACCACUACGAUGUUCACAUAAUUUGUUCCAGUAAUACACACUAUAUAUAUAUUACUAUUUCCAUUUUAGAGAUGGAAAAAGCGGAGGUUCUGAGAUGGUCAGUGGCUUGUCCCAGGCUGUCUGGUAUGGUUUGACAACUCCUUCACCAAUGCUCUGCCUCUCCCAUGUACGAAGGUAUAAGGUGGCACUGUAUUAUCACUUGCUAUGCAGCCUAUAAAAGGUUUGCCAGAUUAAUCUGCCUCAAGCGCUGCACAAGCCCUGAGUAAGCAUGGGUGUGUAUGCGUAAAUGAACAGUCACAUACCAAGUAGUUAUUAGACUAGAUAUGUUUGAAGAAGGGUGCUCUAGCAAGAAUUUGUAAAGCUAAGUUCCAGAAGUAAAGCCUUUUAUGCAACAAUCCUAUUAACAUUCUACAAAACUGUUUAAAAUCAAUGAGAUCACCAUAGCACAUCGCUACUAAGCAUACAGAGGAAACGAAUACUCUUGCAAUGGUGACGACUGCCCAAAUGAAGGGGCCAGAAAGUUUCUGAGCCAAAGUGAACAUUGCUUUAGGGUUUUCAUACGAUCAUGAAUCUAUCUCUACAAAGAACACAAAACAGCAGGUUUUGGAAAAUUUUUAAAAAGAUUUUAUGUAUUUAUUCAUGAGAGACGCACACAGAGAGAGAGGCAGAGACACAGGCAGAGGGACAAACAGACUCCAUCCGGGAGCCCGACAUGGGACUCGAUCCCACGUCUCCAGGAUCAUGCCCUGGGCCAAUGGCGGCGCUAAACCACUGAGCCACCCAGGCUGCCCAGGUUUGGGAAUUUUUGUUGUUUGAAUUAUCUGAAUGAUUACCUCUAAGUUAGUUUUUGUGUAUGUAUGUUAGAUGAAGAACUGAAAAUGAUUUCAGGAAUUUAUAUUUUGGGACCCCUGGGUGGUUCAGUGGUUGAGUAUCUGCCUCGGGCUUGGGUCAUGACCCUGGGGUCCAGGGACUGAGUCCCCCACUGGGCUCCCUGCAUGGAGCCUGCUUCUCCCUCUGCCUUGUGUCUCUGCCUCUCUCUGUGUGUCUCUCAUGAAUAAAUAAAUAAAACCUUUAUUUUCUGAAAAAAGG
ensembl:lncRNA